GACGAACGCUGGCGGCGUGCUUAACACAUGCAAGUCGAACGAAAAUACCAAGCUUGCUUGGUUGAUUAGUGGCGAACGGGUGAGUAACACGUGAGUAACCUGCCCCUUACUUUCCUGGAUAACUGCUCGAAAGGGUAGCUAAUACGGGAUAUUCUGACCGGCCUGCAUGGGUUGGUUUGGAAAGGUUGUUUUUUCUGGUGAGGGAUGGGCUCGCGGCCUAUCAGCUUGUUGGUGGGGUGAUGGCCUACCAAGGCUUUGACGGGUAGCCGGCCUGAGAGGGUGACCGGUCACAUUGGGACUGAGAUACGGCCCAGACUCCUACGGGAGGCAGCAGUGGGGAAUAUUGCACAAUGGGCGCAAGCCUGAUGCAGCGACGCCGCGUGAGGGAUGAAGGCCUUCGGGUUGUAAACCUCUUUCGUCAGGGAACAAGGCACUACGUUUUGGUGGUGUUGAGGGUACCUGGAUAAGAAGCGCCGGCUAACUACGUGCCAGCAGCCGCGGUAAUACGUAGGGCGCAAGCGUUGUCCGGAAUUAUUGGGCGUAAAGAGCUCGUAGGCGGCUGGUCGCGUCUGUCGUGAAAACUUCCGGCUCAACCGGGGGCUUGCGGUGGGUACGGGCCGGCUAGAGUGCGGUAGGGGUAACUGGAACUCCUGGUGUAGCGGUGGAAUGCGCAGAUAUCAGGAAGAACACCGAUGGCGAAGGCAGGUUACUGGGCCGUUACUGACGCUGAGGAGCGAAAGCGUGGGGAGCGAACAGG
rnacentral:rRNA from 1 species